rnacentral:lncRNA from 1 species
GAAAGAUUAGCUGAGUUUUUCUGCUGACUUAACUGUUGAAGAGCAUCAUCCUCAGGCACUACCAAAAGUGUUUAGAGCACUCUGUUGAAAAUGGCAGUAUUUGAAGAAACUGGAUGUCACUUAAAAUAUGAUCCUUGGAUAAACAUCACAUGCUGCUGGCCUUCUUACAAAACGAGUGUGAGUGAAGUGCUUGGCUCUGCGAGAUGGUCCUGGAAUAUCUUCACCACUCUUCACAAUUACGUCCUCUUGCAUUCCCACUGAUCCUUCAGAAUUGUGUGGCCUUUCAACUUUCUGAAAGGCCUUCACUGUCUCUUAAUUCAAAUUCUCCACAUGUAAAUACAAGUCAGAUCACCUUACAAUUUAAUCUUUAAGCAAAACUGUAAAUCAUCAUUUCCCACGACAUUACAAUUGUUGGGGGAAAGGUGUUUGGUGUCACAUCUAAUGGCUUGAAAACUCGGAGCAUCUCUGGACACAGUCAAUAUCCAGGUCUCAAAUAUGCAUUUACUGUGUUUAUUAUAAUGACUGCCUUUGUAUUCACUGCAAUCAUUUUCUACUGUUUCUUCCUUUGUGUAAUCAUUUCUUCCCUUCCCCUCCAUUGUAUUUUUUUAGAGUAAUUCUAUAUUCUGUUUUUGAAUACACACUUCUCUUUCUUUUAAAAUAA